rnacentral:lncRNA from 1 species
GGAACUUGGGGGUAUUGAAGAGUUAUUUCAAGCUUAUGGAAUCAGGUACUAUACUGCGGCGAAGAUAGCUGAGUUAGGGUUCACUGUAAACACCCUUUUAGGCAUGAAAGAAGAAGAGUUAGACGAGAUGAUGAAUAGUGUAUCACAGAUAUUCAGGUGGGAACUCCUCGUCGGUGAAAGGUACGGUAUUAAAGCCGCUGUUAGAGCUGAAAGGAGACGGCUUGAAGAAGAGGAUUCACGGCGGCGACACUUGGUUUUAGGUGACACCACCACCACUACCACCGCCGCCAACGCUCUCGAUGCUCUCUCACAAGAAGGUUCGUUCGUUAUUUUAUAUAUAUAUAUAUAUAAGAAACCCCUUUGAUUACGUAAUUAAAAGAAUCUAGACAAGACUUCCCUUUGACAGUUUCAUUUUGCUGUUUUUCUUUCUUUGGUAAUAUACGUAUUUGAUGUUCAUUUUUAUUACAGAGACUAUUACACGUAAAUGUUUUGUAUGAAAGCUUUGAAACAAUCUCAUUUUCCAUGCAAUAAGCUCAUCGUCAAUAUAUAUAUAUAAGAGCACCGUUGCCAUCCCUAGGUGCAAUAAUAUUAUAUGUAUGUAUAUAGUUAGUUUUGCUGUAUUUGUUGGGGGGCGUUGAAAAGAGUGGUUGACAGGGUUAUCAGAGGAGCCAGUGCAGCAAGAGAAAGAGGCGGCGGGGAGCGGCGGAGGGGGAACGUGGGAGAUGGUAAUAGGUGGAGGAAGGAGGAAGCAGCAGCGGCGGAGGAAAGGGCAGAAAAAGGUGGUUGAAGUUGACAACGGGGAUGAAUUCGAGGGUGGUGAUGAUGAUGAUGAAAACGGUGAUGGUGGUGGCGGUGGCUACGAGCGGCAGCGGG